GUGAGAUUGCAAAAUUUAGUUUUUUGUUGACAUUGGUGUUGGGACUAAAUUGCAAAUCGAAGAAUACUUCAGUCCAUCUUGGACAACAAUAUCCGCAACAACAAUGAUUACAGGUCAGUGUAAUGCUGCUAGUUACUUAAUAUUGAAAGUGUUUCCAGUAACUAUACACUUAAAAGAAGCG